UCGGACGGCAGCGGUGUUUGUACAUUAAUGUCCACCCGCCCCAAAGCCUGAUGGCAACCGACGACGGGGGAGGGGAUGACGGCGUUGGGGGUUGUUAACCUCUUUUCGGUAGGGAAGAAGCGAAAGUGACUGUACCAGCAGAAGAAGCCCCGCUAAGUGCGUGCCAGCAGCUGUGGUAAUACGUAGGGCGCGAGCGUUAUCCGGGAAUUAUUUUGGCGUAAAGAGCUCGUAGGUCGGUUUGUCGCGUCUGUCGUGAAAGUCCGUCGCUCAACCCCUGGAUCUGCGGUGGGUACGGGCAGACUAGACCGCAGUAGGGGAGACCGGAAUUCCUGGUGUAGCGGUGGAAUGCGCAGAUAUCAGGAGGAACACCGAUGGCGAAGGCAGGUCUCUGGGCUGUAACUGACGCUGAGGAGCGAAAGCAUGGGGAGCGAACAGGAUUAGAUACCCUGGUAGUCCAUGCCGUAAACGUUGGGCACUAGGUGUGGGGACCAUUCCACGGUUUCCGCGCCGCAGCUAACGCAUUAAGUGCCCCGCCUGGGGAGUACGGCCGCAAGGCUAAAACUCAAAGGAAUUGACGGGGGCCCGCACAAGCGGCGGAGCAUGCGGAUUAAUUCGAUGCAACGCGAAGAACCUUACCAAGGCUUGACAUGUUCUCGAUCGCCGUAGAGAUACGGUUUCCCCUUUGGGGCGGGUUCACAGGUGGUGCAUGGUUGUCGUCAGCUCGUGUCGUGAGAUGUUGGGUUAAGUCCCGCAACGAGCGCAACCCUCGUUCCAUGUUGCCAGCACGUAAUGGUGGGGACUCAUGGGAGACUGCCGGGGUCAACUCGGAGGAAGGUGAGGACGACGUCAAAUCAUCAUGCCCCUUAUGUCUUGGGCUUCACGCAUGCUACAAUGGCCGGUACAAUGGGUUGCGAUACUGUGAGGUGGAGCUAAUCCCAAAAAGCCGGUCUCAGUUCGGAUUGGGGUCUGCAACUCGACCCCAUGAAGUCGGAGUCGCUAGUAAUCGCAGAUCAGCAACGCUGCGGUGAAUACGUUCCCGGGCCUUGUACACACCGCCCGUCAAGUCACGAAAGUCGGUAACACCCGAAGCCGGUGGCCUA
rnacentral:rRNA from 1 species